rnacentral:rRNA from 1 species
AGUGAACGCUGGCGGUAGGCCUAACACAUGUAAGUCGAACGGCAGCACAGUAAGAGCUUGCUCUUACGGGUGGCGAGUGGCGGACGGGUGAGGAAUACAUCGGAAUCUACUUUUUCGUGGGGGAUAACGUAGGGAAACUUACGCUAAUACCGCAUACGACCUACGGGUGAAAGCAGGGGAUCUUCGGACCUUUCGCGAUUGAAUGAGCCGAUGUCGGAUUAGCUAGUUGGCGGGGUAAAGGCUCACCAAGGCGACGAUCCGUAGCUGGUCUGAGAGGAUGAUCAGCCACACUGGAACUGAGACACGGUCCAGACUCCUACGGGAGGCAGCAGUGGGGAAUAUUGGACAAUGGGCGCAAGCCUGAUCCAGCCAUACCGCGUGGGUGAAGAAGGCCUUCGGGUUGUAAAGCCCUUUUGUUGGGAAAGAAAAGCAGCAGGUUAAUACCCCGCUGUUCUGACGGUACCCAAAGAAUAAGCACCGGCUAACUUCGUG